GUAAGGCAGAGCAGGCACCUACUUACCUUGAUGGCAGGUGCCUGCUCUGCCAAAAAAUGCCGGUGACCAGGAGGAGAGUGACACAGAGCAGGAAGGUGGCGAGGGAGGCUGUUCUCACUCCUCCCUCGCGCGCCCUCUGUAAUGCCGGGAGCCAGAAUAUGACGUCAUGCCGGCCCCGGCAUACUAAAUGGCGCGCUGGAGGAGUGAGGAGCUGCCCCACACUGGACCCCAGGGAGGUGAGUGUCAGUAAGUGUCUGCCUGUGUGUGUUUGUCAGUGAGCAUGUAUGUCAGUGAGUGUGUGUGUGUGUAUGUCAGUGAGUGUAUGUCUGUCAGUGUCUGUGUGUGUGCAUGUGUGUGUGUCUGUCAGUGAGUGAGUAUAUGUGUGUGAUUGUGUCAGUGUGUCUGUGUGUAUGUCAGUAAGUGUUUGUAUGUCAGUAAGUGUUUGUAUGUGUCUGUCUGUCAGUGAGUGAGUGUCUGUCAGUGAGUGAGUUUGUCAGUGAGUGUAUGUCUGUCUGUGAGUGAGUGCAUGUCUAUCAGUAAGUGUCUGUGUGUGUGUGUGUCUGUCAGUGAGUGAGUAUAUGUGUGUGAUUGUGUGUCAGUGUGUGUCUGUCAGUGAGUGUUUGUAUGUGUCUGUUUGUCACUGAGUGAGUGUAUGUUUGUCAGUGAGUGUUUGUCAAUGAGUGUAUGUCUGUCAGUAAGUGUCUGUGUGUGUGCAUGUGUGUGUGUCUGUCAGUGAGGGAGUAUGUGUGUGUGAUUGUGUGUUCGUGUGGCUGUGUACCUGUCAGUGAGUGUGUGUAUGUCAGUAAGUGUUUGUAUGUGUCUGUCAGUGAGUGUAUGUUUGUCAGUGAGUGUAUGUUUGUCAGUGAGUGUAUGUCUGUCUGUGAGUGAGUGCAUGUCUGUCAGUAAGUGCCUGUGUGUGUGCAUGUGUGUGUGUCUGUCAGUGAGGGAGUAUGUGUGUGUGAUUGUGUGUCAGUGUGGCUGUGUACCUGUCAGUGAGUGCGUGUUUCUGUCAGUGAGUUAGUGACAUGUGGGGGUGGCAAAAUGGAUCUUUGCCUAGGACAGCAGAAAUCCUUGCCCCAGCCCUGUUUGUAAGUGCACCUAUGCAGUCAGGAAACAUUAGCAUAGAUCAGUGGCUUUGUGGACCCUGGUACCAGCAUUUAAAAAAACAAAAACUCAAAGUGUGUAUGAAAAGCAUAUAGUAUGUCUUAAAAAAACAAUAUUGGGUGCUUAUAGUAUGAGUUGAUCUGCAUAACAUAUGUUACUGCGAUCUCAAAACAGAAUCAUGGAAAUAGCUCAGAAUAUAUUAAAAUUAUGUAAAAGAUUGGAUCUUUCAUUUACUGCUGUGCAUUGUCACAUAUGUAAAGUUUUUACCCUCGUAAUUUAGUUUCUGAAAGUAUCUGUGGUUUCUGACAUACUCUGUUAUGCUGAACUGAUUUCAGGAAACGUGUGCCCUGAUAAAGCAAUAAUUGGCAGUGUUUUUAUGUAUUGCUCAAAAGUUAAAUUAGACUGAACUAAUAAGUAAACCAUUUUAGUUUAAAUAAAAAAUCCUGUAGAAUACACACAGAGAGAGGCCUGCAGACAGACCCUGUAGAUUUAGCAUGACUCAUUUUUUCUUCUUUUGAAAAGUUUCCUUUCUACUUUCAAGGUCAUAUUAAGAACAACACGUUCAACCAAACAAUAGCACAAUGCCUUUUAAUUUUUAUUUUUAAACCUCUUUUGUCCAUCUUCGUCUUAGUAUUGUUCAUAGACGUGGGUUUUGCAGGCAUUCGAGAACCUGCAUUACUAGAGGGCUUUAUUCUUUCAGUUGCAAUAAGAAUAACUCUACAUGAAAACGUGUUCUCAAAAUAAUUAAAUGCAUAAAUAGUAGUAGUUUUGCUGGACCUGGUAUAAUUCCAGCUGUGUGUUCCUUACAAAUUAUGUAAAUGUUGAAUGCAAUUAGGCAAAUUAUAAUAUGCCAAAUAAAUUAUUCAUUCAUGUACGUUGCAAGUGCAUGGUCAUGUUCAUGUAGAACUGAAUUGUUUCCCUCUAAACGGUAAGUUUGGAGAGAUAAGUAGAAAACCUGAGUUGAUCUUGUUAGCAAAAUUGUGUUUUUAAUGGUGCAAUUUACAUGCAUUAUAUAUUUUAGUUUAUGGAAAAGGCUGUUUGAUUAACUAUAUUCUGAUUUUAUGUGGUAACAUAUAAAACAUACGUUGCUCCAAAAACGCGCUUAAUAACUCUGUUAGUUGGGCAAAAACUUGUAAUGGCUUGCACAAAUUUACCAUUAUAGGAUUAUUUAUGUAUAUUAUAGGAGUAUUAUAGGUGUAGCUAUCUUAUAAAAACUAACAAAGUUAAACUUUUACCUCAUUGAUUUGAUGUCACAUGCAAUCAUAAAUGUCAGGGAUAGAUUUGAUAAGUGCUGUAUUGAGUGCAAAGAGCUAAAUGUUCUUAUUUAGCAAUUUGCUUUAGUAUAUCACCUGCUUUUGCUUUGAUAAAUAUCCCCCACCAGAAAGGAGCAUCACUGGAGGGACUGACAGGGGUCCUGAAACAGUGAAUCCCGUUAAAGUCCAAGCAACAUUACCUUUAGACCUGUGUAUUCAGUUUCAAAUGAAUCACAAUUCUUCUAAAAUUUGGGCAAUCAGCAAUUUGUCAUGUAAUGGACAAUCCAUGGGGGUUGGGGUCAGGAGAGUAUAAUGAAAGGGAUUUUUUUUGUUGUUGUUUGUUUUUUUGCAGUACAUUAAAAGGCACAUUUUGAAGCAUGUUCACCCAAAAUAGUUUUCCCUAUAAUAACAUGGGAACUUUGUCUAAACUAAAAAAGGCCACAUGGACGAUGAAAAUGUUAUUUCUUUUCACUAAAGCAGUAAUCUUACAUAUUAAAAAAUUGCUAUGUGGCCCCAAAAAUGCACUUUUUCUUUUGUUCUUUACUACUUUUUCUAUGCGGACUAUACAUUUAACAUCCUCCUUCCCUUCUUCUCACUUCAGGAUUGGAUAAAUCUUUAGCUGGGAUGCUGUACCCCCUCUCUGGUUUUGAGCUCUGCCUUCCAGCUUCCUUGCUCUGUAAGAGUCUCGGGUGAACUGCAAAGGACCUCAGCUUUCUGUUAACUGAUGACAUGUUUGUCAAAAUGUUUUUUCAGUGACCUAAUAGAGACUGAUGGAACACUAAGAUUUUCAUCAAGCCCAGAAACUGGCAGUGAGGGAGAGCUUUUUUUCUCUCUCCUGUGAUAAUGGAACACUGAGGAUGCCAUCAAGCACAGCAGCAGGCAGUGAGAAGAGACUAUUUUUCUUACUCCAUAGCUUGUUCACAGAAGGGUAAAAAGUUAACACUUUUUAAGAAUACAGCCAAGGCUAACAGAAGGAACAGGGGGAAGAGGUUUGGUCCGGACAACCCGGCCUGUCUCUGGGCAACUUUGCUACGGGAAAGUUGGGACUUGGUGCAAUUUUUAGAAAAAAAAAAAGAGCUUGGCCUAAUUAAUGUUGGAAGAGUUUCUCCAGCUGUCUUCACUCUGGACAACGUGGCCAGGCAUAGCCUUAAGCCUACUAUUUACAUCUGACUCCACCAUCCAGCUUAAUUCCUCUCCCUUAAAUUCCCUGGACAUCUUAACCGGUAAAUUUUGGAUGAAGUGAUUUAGGUGGGUAGCAAUUUUUAUGCAGAUGGACCACCUGGCCUGCAAAUGUGGGGUCAGCUCGCUUACUGCCUAUGGCUGAGGUAGAAACUAAAAAGGUAGGCCCCUCAAAGACUCCAGUGGUUACCAGCAAGCAAACAGCAAUUUUUAAUCACCAAGAGAUGGACCUAGUAUGGAUAUCAUUCUUGAAUAGUGUAUACAGCAUUAUUCACAAGUGUUUAAUCAUUAAGAGAGUAUGAGAUACAGCAAACAAAGAGUUUGAAAAUUAUGCAACACAAUGAAAACUGAACAUAAUUACAAAAUGAAAAAUAAACAUAAUUAUUAAACUGCGGGACUAAGAAAUGAUGGGAUUGGUGAGAUGCCUACUCCUAUUUCUUUCUGCAACAGGCUAUUAAAACUUAUUUGUUCCCUGAGACAAUAGUUUAUGCCAUUGAGUCAAUCUAUUCAAAUCCCUUGGCUGCCGUCUUGGCUUCUG